GACGAACGCUGGCGGCGUGCCUAAUACAUGCAAGUCGAGCGGAACUGGGGGAGCUUGCUCCUUCCAGUUUAGCGGCGGACGGGUGAGUAACACGUGGGCAACCUGCCCUGCAGAUCGGGAUAACUCCGGGAAACCGGUGCUAAUACCGAAUAGUUUGGCGCCUCUCCUGAGCCGCUACGGAAAGACGGUUUCGGCUGUCACUGCAGGAUGGGCCCGCGGCGCAUUAGCUAGUUGGUGGGGUAACGGCCCACCAAGGCGACGAUGCGUAGCCGACCUGAGAGGGUGACCGGCCACACUGGGACUGAGACACGGCCCAGACUCCUACGGGAGGCAGCAGUAGGGAAUCUUCCGCAAUGGACGCAGGUCUGACGGAGCAACGCCGCGUGAGUGACGAAGGUUUUCGGAUCGUAAAACUCUGUUGUGAGGGAAGAACACGUACCAACUAACUAUUGGUACCUUGACGGUACCUCACCAGAAAGCCACGGCUAACUACGUGCCAGCCGCCGCCGUAA
rnacentral:rRNA from 1 species